rnacentral:rRNA from 1 species
AACGAACGCUGGCGGCAUGCCUAACACAUGCAAGUCGAACGAGACCUUCGGGUCUAGUGGCGCACGGGUGCGUAACGCGUGGGAACCUGCCCUUAGGUUCGGACUAACUCCCCGAAAGGGGUGCUAAUACCGGAUAAUGUCUUCGGACCAAAGAUUUAUCGCCUUUGGAUGGGCCCGCGUUGGAUUAGCUAGUUGGUAGGGUAAAAGCCUACCAAGUCGACGAUCCAUAGCUGGUCUGAGAGGAUGAGCAGCCACACUGGGACUGAGACACGGCCCAGACUCCUACGGGAGGCAGCAGUGGGGAAUAUUGGACAAUGGGCGAAAGCCUGAACCAGCAAUGCCGCGUGAGUGAUGAAGGCCUUAGGGUUGUAAAGCUCUUUUACCCGGGAUGAUAAUGACAGUACCGGGAGAAUAAGCUCCGGCUAACUCCGUG